AAGUCGUAACAAGGUUUCCGUAGGUGAACCUGCGGAAGGAUCAUUAACACGUAUCCAACGUUAAACCCCCCUGUGAACCUUCGUCCGCCGGCCCGUGGUGAGCCUCUAGCGAUCGUAAUGUUAACCUCGAAACCGUACAGCGACACUUUAAUCCGCCCGGCCAGGUCUCCAGACCCACUGCGUAUGCGCUCAAUUGAAGUCCUGGACAGAGGUCCUGAAUCAAAAACGACUUUCGCCACUGAUUUACCAGGAUUGCUGUUCCGUACGGUAUCAAGAGCUCUCUGGCCUCGAGCCCCCCUACCUGACGACCAAGUUAAACCGGGCCUCGUCACAUAGCAAGUGCGCCGUGAUGGAGGAAAACGUACAACUGUUAACAAUGGAUAUCUUGGUUCUC
rnacentral:misc_RNA from 1 species